AUCCCGCACAUAGGUUAUACUGCACUUAGGCUAUCCCGCACAUAGGUUAUACUGCACUUAGGCUAUCCCGCACAUAGGUUAUACUGCACUUAGGCUAUCCCGCACAUAGGUUAUACUGCACUUAGGCUAUCCCGCACAUAGGUUAUACUGCACUUAGGCUAUCCUGCACAUAGGUUAUACUGCACUUAGGCUAUCCUGCACAUAGGUUAUACUGCACUUGGGUUAUCCC